CACACGUAAGCCUGAGGCUCUUUAUCUUGGCGGCUAAAGAAUACAAGGGGUCAGACUCUCUCUCGGGAAAAUGCUGAGUCUCAUGCAGAAGUAGUUCUCCUUGAUGGUCAAAGUACAUUCUCACUGGAACGUCCCGAGGUGGGUGCAGAAGUAUAAUUAACCCUCUUUUCUAGGUUCUAGGUUCUAGGUUCUGGGUUCUAGCUCCCGGAAUGGUGACUUAACAAACAUGUACUCUCUCUGAGAGUCCUUCCACGAUGGGUCCAAGGGGACAGGUUUCUCUGCUGCACGUGCUCACUCAGGCACCCAGGUUCUGUCACCUUGCUGUUUUGCUGUCGCUUAGGGUAUCGCUGUCAUCUGUGUGGUUGCAGUUCACAGGCAGGAUUUGUCGAGCCGGCCCAGAAUGUCUUCUAAUGCUGAAGAGUAAGGAGGUGACGUCUGUGACUCACAAAACAGCCCCGUGCACCUGCUAGGGAAGCCAGACUUUUUUCCUCCGACAUAACAAAUUAGAACCCAUCUGGGAUUUGAGAAGCCUGAGCUAAGGUUUCCUGGAUCUGUUUGCAUACGGGGCAGUGAUGAAAAGCAAAGAAAACGAUAUGUUUAAAGAACCCUUCUGUGUCAAGUAGAAGGAAAGCUUAAGAAUUCUUAUACAUUUCACUCUGGUGUAGGAUGGUGAUGUGUAAGGAUCUGAAAAUAAUUUAACCCAUUCACAGUACUUCUAUUUUUUUUUUUUUAAUUUUUUAAAAUCUGUGCUGUUAGCACAGAGCCCGAUGCAGGGCUCGAACCCACAAACCAUGAGAUCAGGACCUGAGCCAAAGUCAGACGCUCAACCGACUGAGCCAUCCAGGCCCCUAUCCACAGUACUCCUAAGUGCCGGGCACGGUUCUAAGGCCUGAGGAAUGAUAGUUCCUCUAAUCCUUACAAUGAUAUUUUGAAAUAAGGACUGUUGUACCCAUUUGAGGGAUGUGGACACGGAGGCAGAGAGGGAGACAGAACUUGCCCCCCGUCACACAGCCAGUAAGCGGUCGAUCUAGGAUUUGAAGUUAGACAAUCUGGCUCCAGAGUCUGUGCCCACGGGCCAGCAACCUUUCUCAGGAACAUCAGCUGGUACACAUGUUAGGCUCCGCGGGUUGUGCCGCCUGUCACAGCUACUCAGCUCUGUGGCCGAAGGGCAAAGCAGCCACAGAGAAUGUGGAAGCGAGUUAAGUGUGGCCGUGUUCCAGUAAGACUUUGUGGACGCCGAACUUCAAAUUUCAUGUAAUUUUCACGUGUCACAAAAUAGUCUUCUUCUUUUAUUUUUUUUACUCAACUAUUUAAAAACACAACAGCCAUUCUUGGCUCGCAGGCUGUUUGCUGGCCCCUGGUCUUUGCAAGUAACCUCGACGCCCCGUGGAUUCCUGAAACUGUGAGUCCUUUCCUGAGCCUGACUACACUGGGCGCUCCGAGAAGAGCCUCCUGUGCCCUGGAGACCCGCCCCCUUCACCGAGAGGAGGAAGGCCCUCCUAUGUCGUUAGAACUUGGUAGAAGGAGAAGGUGAAGUGUCCCUGUAACCAGGCGUCAUGUGGCCAAUGAGGAUGUGGUCAUGUGGCCAGUGAGGACCGGGGCUGGGACCUACCGAUGGACGGGCAGGCAGGAUUUGGGUUGGCAAUCAGAGCACUCACAGGAGCUUAGAGAAAUGGGGAAAUGAAGAAAGGAGAAAAAAGGGCGGGUGUAUGGUGCAGAAGGAUGAGAGGCACGGACACGGAGCCUCGUCUCUGCAAUUUCCCGUCAAAAGAACUCAGGCAGCCUCUCGGGCAGCGAGCGCUCAGAGAA